AAGGUAUCAAUAAUACAUAUGUGGCAUUGAAGUUAUUAGAAGCUGAUAUUUUACAUUUUAAGGCAUCAAGAAAUACAUGAAAGCAUAGCAAUAUUGUCUACUUUAUGACACCAUGUCCCCACCACACAACUGCAUAUACAGCAUUUGUAUUUUUGUUUUAAAGAUGAUUUUAUAAAACACUUCAAGAAAACAAUUUGAUCAUUAAAAGCACAGUAUUAUGUUCUUACUUGACAGAAGCUGAAACCAGAUUUUACAUUUUUUUAAAGCUUAAAAACUGUAAGAUUUAAAAACUAUGGUUGUAUAAAGUAAACAAACUUUAUGUAUAAAUGGUAUAUGCUAAUAAUCUACAGAAUGAUUAUAUCGAUGAAUAUCAGAAAUUCGAUUGAUAAUUAAAUCAAAAGUUCAAUCAGUAUGAUACAACUUUUUAAAUUUUUAUGUAAUACUGAGAGAUAAAUAAAAUUUAUCGCUGAUUUUGUUGUUAUUAAAAGUAUAAUUAAUAGAUUUUAUAUAAACUUAUUUCCCUCCCAUGGGAUACAAAGCUCCACAAUCUAGCAAACCUGGCUUUUGAGCCAAUGUACAGAUUUAAACAUGUUUUCUGUAAAUUUAGAGAUUUUAUUAGUGUAUAUUAUAAUAUAUUAAAAUUAUGCUAUCAAAUAUUUUUAGCUCUUUAAUUGAACUAUUAAUGUUAACU